UACAUAGGGUGCGAGCGUUAAUCGGAAUUACUGGGCGUAAAGCGUGCGCAGGCGGUUCGUUAUGUCCGAUGUGAAAGCCCCGAGCUCAACUUGGGAAUGGCAUUGGAAACUGGCGGGCUGGAGUGUGGCAGAGGGGGGUGGAAUUCCACGUGUAGCAGUGAAAUGCGUAGAGAUGUGGAGGAACACCGAUGGCGAAGGCAGCCCCCUGGGCCAACACUGACGCUCAGGCACGAAAGCGUGGGGAGCAAACAGG
rnacentral:rRNA from 1 species